UUUUUUUUCCAUAGGCCUAGAGGUGAAGUUGACUUUCCAGAUUUCCGUCGAUAUAUCACGAAUGCGUUAAAAAUUUAAAUACUAGUGUAAUUAAUUAGUGUAAUACAAAUAUUUUAAUACUUACCAAUAAUCAUUGUGGACUUUAUUUGGGACAAUUUGUAUGUAUAAUUCAUAGCUUAGAGGAGAGAUUGGAAGUUAUCCUAAGUAGGAUAAAGCCAAAGGGAAGGGUAUACUGUGGGAAAUGGCAGUAGGAUUUAAAGAGGAACUUUGCAGGAAAAGGAUACAGUGACAGUUCAUGAAUACCAGUUUAUCAACCAGAUAAUGAAACCCGAUGUUGACCGAUGACCAUCUUCACCGUAGAUCGGCGAAAGCGUUAGACUCAGUUUUUAUAGCUUGCUCUUAGAUACCAGCCUAUCUUUCAAGUAGUGAAACCAGAACCGUAUCUUGAUCGUGGAGUAGCUAAACUAUCGGACUAAGUUAGUUCUCGUGGUGUACUCUCGGAAGCAAAAAAGUUAUUGUCGUCAUGGAAGAACAAAAACUUUCCGUCACUAGUCAUUCAGGGCAAGACAUCUGCUGAAAACAUCCAUUUUACCAUCUAAAUUCAUUGAAAUGUGACAUGACAUCUAUCAUCAAGUCAUCUUCAGAUAGUAAUGAGCAGUAACCGUUCUUCUCGACACUAGGACCAAUCUUUAGUUUACCUCCCAUGAUGCACUUCAAACAAGAAUUUAUAUCAUUGCUUCAUCAACCCUUUGAUAGCACAAGAAGUGCUAGGUCCCACCACAGCGAGUGUGUUCCCUUUGAUUAUCUUUGGAUUUUAAGAAAUUUUUCUCACCCACUGUUAAAUCCAGACCUUUCCACCAAAAUGUGAAGCUGGGGGGAAUGAACUAAAAUUAAAAUUCAACAAAAUAAAAAAAAUACCAUUCUGAAAGAAUGUGGAUGGUCAUCUUCGUAAUGUAGUGUACAAUAUGUUGAUUGGCUGAUAAUCUUUUGUGUAGUAAAACCGUGACAAGAAACUGUACAUUGUAAGUGUUUUGUUGGAAUUUGUAUGUUAUUAAAUACUUGGUGUUUAAA